CAGCACGGCAACAGCCCAGUGGCAAUGUGCACAUUUGGCCGAUGGCCAUAAUCCUUUUGCGUAUCGUGCAGCUCAGCCAGCAUCAGAGCUCAGAUGAUUUAUAUCUCUCCCUCCUCCUCCCCAUCUUCAUCCUCUGUCUUACCAGGAGUUUCUGUCACACAGAAUCACAGAACUGUUGGGGUUGGAAAGGACCUCAAGAAAUCACUGAGUCGAAACCUCACGCUAAAGGAGGCACCCUACAGUAAGCCUCACAGGUAGACAUCCAGAUGAGUCAAGAGUAUCUCCAUAGAAGACUCCACAACCUCUCCAGGCAACCUGUUCCAGACCUCUGUCACCCUCACACACUGCACAACACCAAGAAGAGCCAGGCCUCAUCCAUUACCUGUCACCUCCCUUCAGAUAUUUACAAACAUCAGUCAGUUCACCCUGCCCAAAAGCCACAGCCUGGCUCGAUACAGCUGCUUCAAACCAGUCUUAAAAUCUCCAGGAAAGGGAAAUGUCACAACCCAUAAAUGAAGAAUUGCUAAGGGUCAGAGUCCACAGAAUACCACAAAAGAGGAUCUCCAAGCAGAAGACCUGCUUAAAUGAGGCUUGAGAGGGGCGGAGCCAUGCUACAGCAGUUUGCACAUGUGAAGUGCUUCCACCUGUGCUCCCAGGGCCGCCUAUGCCCCUUCACUAGGUGCUCAAUCACUGGUUCAGGCUUUGACUUAACUGUUCCGGUAUAGUAACCCUUAAUCAUUAACCCUCACCAGAAUAGGUAUUCCUUAACCAUAACACAAAUGAGUAACACUUAACAGUUUGAUUGAAAGAAUAACCCUUGAAAGAAUAACCCUUAACACUAACACACAACAUGGUAAUACUUAACCUGAACACUAACCCAGAAAUGGAACCCUUAACUGUAACACCAAACAGCAACUCUUAAUCGUUAACCCUAACUCUAAAUGGUAAACAUUAACACUAACCCAAAUUGCUAACCCUUAACCAUUACCCGUAAUGGUAACCCAAACACAAAUGGGUAACCAUUAAUGCUAGCCCCAAAAGAGGAAUGUUCAAUGCUUACUCACACAGAUAAUCCUCAACCCAAACCAAAAUUGUAACCCUUAACACUAACCCAAAUGGGAAACCUUUCUGUCCUAACCUGGGACAGUAACCCUCAAAACGUAACCCUGGCAGUAAAUGGUAAUUCCUAAACAUAACCCCAAAUGGUUAACCUUAACAAUAACCCCAAAUGGCAACGCUUGACCAUUAAUGCUAACCCAAAUGGGUAACCCUUAAUGCUAAAACAUAUUGGUAUUUCUUAACCCUAACACAAAUAGCAAACCCUUAACCCUUAAACCUAACCCCAAAUGAUAACCCCUAACCCUACAGAGUAAUAAACCUUAAUGCUUAAUCAUAAGCAAAAAGGGAAAGCCUUCACGCUUACACAAUCAGGAAACUCUUAAACCUAACCCAAAAGGGUAAGCCUUAACCCGUAUCCCUAACCCAAAAUGUUAACCUUUAACCCUAAACUCAAAUGGGGAACCUUUAUCCCUUAACCCUAACUCAAAAGGGUAAUCCUUAGCCGUAACCCAAAAGGGUAACUCUCCACACCUGAGAAGUACAUAGUAACCCUCAGCACUUUCUCUGCGGUCUUCAAGGCCUGUACAAACACAUGCCACCCUGUGAGUUCGUGAUCUUAAAGGACACUCCCAACACAAGACAGUCCAUUGUACCGUGAUCUUCAAGGACCCUUCUAACUCGAGCCAUUCCAUGGUUCUGUGGUCUUCAAGGACACAUCCAACGCAAGCCACUCCAUGUUUUGUGAUCUUCAAAGACCCUUCCAACACAAGCCAUCCUGUGGCUCUAGGACCCUUCAAACUCAAGACAUCCUAGGGUUCUAUCAUCUUCGUCUUCAAGAACAACUUCCAACACAAACCCUCCUGCGGCUUUAUGAUCGUUUAGGACUCUUCAAGCUCAAGCCGUCCUAGGGUUCUAUGAUCUUCAAGGAUCCUAGCAAUACAAACCCUCCUACGGUUCUGUGGUCUUCAUGGAUCCUUGCAGUACAAGCUAUCCUUUGGUUCUUUAAUCUUCCACUCUUCCAACACAAGCCAUUCUGUGGUUCUACGAUCUUAAAGGUCCCUUAUAACACAAGCCAUCCUCUGUUUCUGUCAUCCCUUCCAACACAAACCUUCUUAUGAGGGAACUUGGGGGUGUUGGUCGAUGCUCAGAUGAGCAAGAGCCAGCAGUGUGCCCAGGUGGCCAGGAAGGCUGAUGACCUGCUGGCUUGUGUCAGAAACUGUUGCCAGCAGGAGCAGGGAAGUGAUCAUCUCUCUGUACUCAGCGCUGGUGAGGCUGCACCUCGAGUACUGUGUUCAGUGUUGGGCCCCUCACUACAAGCAGGAAAGCUGGUACAGGGUCUGGAGCGCAGGUGUUAUGGGGAGUGGCUGAGGGAGCUGGGAUUGUUCAGUCUGGAGAAGCGGAGGCUCAGGGGGGACCUCAUCGCUCUCUCCCACUACCUGCAGGGGGGCUGUAGAAGGAAUCACAUAGAAUCACCAACGUUCAAAAAGACCUCCAAACUCAUCUAGGAGAAUAAUUUUUUCGUAAUAUUCAACCUGAGAGUGCUGAGGUAUAAUGCUCCACAGUCAGACCUACAUGUGACUGUGGGGCCCUGAUGUUCUUCCCAUGGGCACACAAACACUCAAUGACCAUACUGGGAGGCAAAAAGCACAGCAGAAGACGAUCCUCAGCUGCAGACGCUGAUGACACUCAUAGCAAUAAGAGAGAAGUAUGUGUGAAAGGCUUACGUUACAAAAGGAAUGACUGAUUGUCAGCAGAGAUGUGGUCUAGCACUUGUUCUGCUGGAGCAACUCCAGUGUGGCCAUAGAUUUGCACUACGGAGCAAAAACAAAUCUCAGCCGGAAUAAUACUGUCAAGCCUAAAACCAACAUUCGGCUCCUAAAAUCCUGAGUUGUUGGUUGAAAAAUAU
rnacentral:lncRNA from 1 species